rnacentral:lncRNA from 1 species
CAGCUAAAAGAAUUGCCGGCAGUUUGAAGUAUGGUUCGGUUGUUGAUGAAGAAUGCCAGCUUUCAACAAAUAGGUUCACCCGAAAGGGAGGGAAAAAACUAAAGUCUCAAACAUCUGAGGCGGAUAAUUAAGUAUUAACUAAAGUUGACAAAGCUAUUUAAUAUUGAUUGUAUUUGUUUAACCAUAGACUAUUUGUUUUGAAAGAUGUUUUAUAUUUGGGGAUCAGAAGACUUGCUUAUGUGCAAUGAUAUCCAAAAAACAAUGUAUUAUCGUGAAUAUAUUUUGAAUGAGACUUAUAUUAUAUAUGAUUUAUAAUAUUAUGUUAUGGUGUAUGAAAAUAUAUGUCUUAAACAUAAUCCAUGAUGAGUAAUACCUUACAAAAUUGGAACACAGAGAAAUUGAUGUUAGAACUUAUUUUUUACGUGAUGGAUUAUAAGUUAACACAAAUUUGACAUUAUAUUAAAUACAACUAACCUCCUAAAUGGGAGUUUCUAAUUUACAAGGACUAUUUACAUAUUGACGACGACUAUUGAUAUAGUCAAGUAAUCCAAAAUAUCACUUUUCUUUAGAGUUUAUUUCUCAUUUGUGUGAUGCUUGGGAAGCCUAUUCAUAAUAGUUAACGCGAGUUAUAGAAUGGUGUACAAAGGACAAAAAACUAUUAAUUAAACUUCAUUCUUUAACCAUGUAUAAUUAUGGUGCAAAAUGAUUUUCAACCUUGGAGAAGCUAUAUCUAAAGCCAUAUCUAAAAUGUGUUUCUCAAAUUGCAAGGUAAAUAACAUAGAAAAGCAGAUUGGUUUUUGAAUGGGAAUUCAAUUUAUGAAAAAGUAAUAGAAACUAUUAAUUAAACUCCAUUCUUUAGAUAUGGCUUAUUAUUGUGCUGAAAAAAAUUUUAAUAAUAAAAAAUGCUACGUAAAUGAAAUAGAAGAUUAUAUUGGUUUUUAACAUCUUUUUAUGACAAGGUCCAUAAAGGGAUGUCUGACUAAUUAUAGUAGCAAUCCCAAUAAAAACUUUCAACAUCUUUUUAUGACAAGGUCCAUAAAGGGAUGUCUGACUAAUUAUAGUAGCAAUCCCAAUAAAAACUUUCAACAUCUUUUUAUGACAAGGUCCAUAAAGGGAUGUCUUUCAAAUAAGAUAUGAUCCUCAUUCAGUAAGAUAAAGUUGAUGGAUCCUUAUACAGAUUAAGUUAAAAAAUUCUUCUCGACAAUUACAAUGAUGAAAGACCCCAUAUAUGAUUUUAAG